AAAUGCGUAGAGAKKUGGAGGAACACCAGUGGCGAAGGCGACUCUSUGGUCUGUAAYUGACGCUGAGGAGCGAAAGCGUGGGGAGSGAACAGGAUUAGAUACCCUGGUAGUCCACGCCGUAAACGAUGAGUGSUAAGUGUUAGGGGGUUUCCGCCCCUUAGUGYUGCAGCUAACGCAUUAAGCACUCCGCCUGGGGAGUACGGUCGCAAGACUGAAACUCAAAGGAAUUGACGGGGGCCCGCACAAGCGGUGGAGCAUGUGGUUUAAUUSGAAGCAACGCGAAGAACCUUACCAGGUCUUGACAUCCUCUGACAACCCUAGAGAUAGGGCUUUCCCUUCGGGGACAGAGUGACAGGUGGUGCAUGGUUGUSGUCAGCUCGUGUCGKGAGAUGUUGGGUUAAGUCCCGCAACGAGCGCAACCCUUGAUCUUAGUUGCCAGCAUUCAGUUGGGCACUCUAAGGUGACUGCCGGUGACAAACCGGAGGAAGGUGGGGAUGACGUCAAAUCAUCAUGCSCCUUAUGACCUGGGCUACACACGKGCUACAAUGGACAGAACAAAGGGCUGCAAGACCGCAAGGUUUAGCCAAUCCCAUAAAUYUGKUSUCAGUUCGGAUCGCAGUSUGCAACUSGACKGCGUGAAG
rnacentral:rRNA from 1 species